UGAUUUUGGAUCCGACUGAGUGGCGAACUGGUGAGUAACACGUGGGUAACCUGCCCAGAAGAAGGGGAUAACACCUGGAAACAGAUGCUAAUACCGUAUAACAACAAGAACCACAUGGUUCUUGUUUGAAAGCUGGCCUUUGUGCUAGUGCUUCUGGAUGGACCCGCGGCGUAUUAGCUAGUUGGUGAGAUAAUAGCUCACCAAGGCAAUGAUACGUAGCAGACCUGAGAGGGUAAUCUGCCACAAUGGGACUGAGACACGGCCCAUACUCCUACGGGAGGCAGCAGUAGGGAAUCUUCCACAAUGGACGAAAGUCUGAUGGAGCAACGCCGCGUGAGUGAAGAAGGGUUUCGGCUCGUAAAACUCUGUUGUUAGAGAAGAACAGCCGUGAGAGCAACUGCUCACGGUAUGACGGUAUCUAACCAGAAAGUCACGGCUAACUACGUGCCAGCAGCCGCGGUAAUACGUAGGUGGCAAACGUUGUCCGGAUUUAUUGGGCGUAAAGGGAGCGCAGGCGGUUUAUUAAGUCUGAUGUGAAAGCCUUCGGCUUAACCGGAGAAGUGCAUCGGAAACUGAUAAACUUGAGUGCAGAAAAGGAUAGUGGAACUUCAUGUGUAGCGGUGAAAUGCGUAGAUAUAUGAAGGAACACCAGUGGCGAAGGCGGCUAUCUGGUCUGUAACUGACGCUGAGGCUCGAAAGCAUGGGUAGCAAACAGGAUUAGAUACCCUGGUAGUCCAUGCCGUAAACGAUGAAUGCUAGGUGUUGGAAGGUUUCCGCCUUUCAGUGCCGCAGCUAACGCAUUAAGCAUUCCGCCUGGGGAGUACGACCGCAAGGUUGAAACUCAAAGGAAUUGACGGGGACCCGCACAAGCGGUGGAGCAUGUGGUUUAAUUCGAUGCUACGCGAAGAA
rnacentral:rRNA from 2 species